rnacentral:rRNA from 1 species
CCUACGGGUGGCAGCAGUGAGGAAUAUUGGUCAAUGGGCGCGAGCCUGAACCAGCCAAGUAGCGUGAAGGAUGACGGCCCUACGGGUUGUAAACUUCUUUUAUAAGGGAAUAAAGUGAGGCACGUGUGCCUGUUUGUAUGUACUUUAUGAAAAAGGAUCGGCUAACUCCGUGCCAGCAGCCGCGGUAAUACGGAGGAUUCGAGCGUUAUCCGGGUUUAUUGGGUUUAAAGGGAGCGUAGAUGGGUUGUUAAGUCAGGUGGGAAAGUGUGCGGCUCAACCGUAGAACUGCCAUUGAUACUGGCUGUCUUGAGUACAGUUGAGGUAGGCGGAAUUCGUGGUGUAGCGGUGAAAUGCUUAGAUAUCACGAAGAACUCCGAUUGCGAAGGCAGCUUACUAACCUGCUACUGACAUUGAUGCACGAAAGUGUGGGUAUCAAACAGGAUUAGAUACCCUAGUAGUC